GAUGAACGCUAGCGGCAGGCCUAACACAUGCAAGUCGAGGGGUAGAACACUUCGGUGUUUGAGACCGGCGCACGGGUGCGUAACGCGUAUGCAAUCUACCUUGUACAGGGGAAUAGCCCAGAGAAAUUUGGAUUAAUGCCCCAUAGUAUAUAACCUUCGCAUGUUGGUUAUAUUAAAGUUCCAACGGUACAAGAUGAGCAUGCGUCCCAUUAGUUAGUUGGUAAGGUAACGGCUUACCAAGACGAUGAUGGGUAGGGGGCCUGAGAGGGUGAUCCCCCACACUGGUACUGAGACACGGACCAGACUCCUACGGGAGGCAGCAGUGAGGAAUAUUGGUCAAUGGGUGCAAGCCUGAACCAGCCAUCCCGCGUGAAGGAUUAAGGUCCUAUGGAUUGUAAACUUCUUUUGUAUAGGGAUAAACCUACCCUCGUGAGGGUAGCUGAAGGUACUAUACGAAUAAGCACCGGCUAACUCCGUGCCAGCCGCCGCAGUAAGAC
rnacentral:rRNA from 1 species